CCAAGAUAACAUAUUUGUGUUUAAUCAUUCAAAAAGUGAAAUAUUAUGUACUGUAAUGCAACACUUUUUACGGAAACCUCCAGUUGAGCAACAGUUCCAGAAAAAAUUGUGAAAUGAAGUAAAAAGCUGCCCAGAACACCAUACUUCCACUCAGUUAAUUCGAAAAAAUUAAGUUUCAGAACUAGACAGAAAGUCAAGACCUCAUUUUUAGGAAAGUAGAAGCGGCACAUUUUUAAACGCAGCCUGUUUGGAAUAACUUCGGAAUAGCAACCAUCACUGGGAAGUUAUUGAAUACCAUCAUCCCCUGGCCAGCAACUUGUGCCACACGCAGACCUCAUGACAGAGCGACGAUAAAAAUGCCACGGCUGAUUUCUACAGCCGCUUCCAGCGCAUUGCAUCAACCCAGGCAGCAAACCGAGUAAGGAAUGUGUCAGGGACUACGAGAACGUUCCCAUUCCUUGUGUUACUUCAUGAAAUGCAUUUCUAGCCACACCCGUAAGGAACUUGUCUCUCCAGACAGUACACAGUAGGGGGAAGAAUGAACCUUCAAGAGAACCCAACUGAACACCUUUCAAAAAGACCUAUCUGUAACCUUGGUAAAAAUAACUAUGGAGAUAAUGAUAAUGGAUAAUUAUAAACUCCAUAACUGGCAAAACAAGACUCUGCAUUUCAGAAGAUGAAUUGCCUUACCCUGUCCAGUAACCCACUUUACAGUGCAGUAAUGGAUCUGCAUCCGGAGGGUUAUGCAAUGAAAUGGAGCCUUUGGCAAGCUGGAAUCACACUGGAAAUGAAGCCACAUCUUCAUGGGUUUUUUCAUACAUGCAUAUUUGUAAAUCUGGGACUUAUCCCUUUUGACAUAAAGAGACCAUCCCAGCUUGGAAUGAUUAAAUUCUAGGACAGAUUAUGAAAUAAUAAAGCAUUUGAAUAUUGUGUUGCAGCAGUACAACAGUGCAGUCACCCUUCCUUUUACUGAUUCAAGUGUAGUAUCUCCAAAAAGCUUUUGCACUCCAGAAAGCCUACUGACUAUACAUUAUAAAACAGGAAAUAGAAUGUCAUAUAUGUAUGUAUAUAUAUGUAGAUAAAAUUUAUAUAUUUUCCAGACCUUUCUCUAGGUAAAGUAAUCAUUGAAGCAGCUAAAAAUAUGGGGAAAUGAAGCAAAUACAGGUCCUGAUCCAAAGGCCACUGAACUCAGCAGAAGCACUGGAGUCAUGUGUGUCGUGAAUUACAAUUCACAAAUGCAAAUAAAGAAUGUUACUGUAUAUGAGUAAGGAUAAAGUUUAAUUGUCUGGUUGCAGUAUCUAGGCAUUCUACUUGGAUAAAACGAGGAGAUUUUUUUUCUCUAGCAGGUAGAGAGAGUUUCUCAGCAAGCACGUAUUGCCAAUAUUUAUGGGAGAG